rnacentral:rRNA from 1 species
CUGUGAGACAGGUGCUGCAUGGCUGUCGUCAGCUCGUGUUGUGAAAUGUUGGGUUAAGUCCCGCAACGAGCGCAACCCUUAUCCUUUGUUGCCAGCGGUCCGGCCGGGAACUCAAAGGAGACUGCCAGUGAUAAACUGGAGGAAGGUGGGGAUGACGUCAAGUCAUCAUGGCCCUUACGACCAGGGCUACACACGUGCUACAAUGGCGCAUACAAAGAGAAGCGACCUCGCGAGAGCAAGCGGACCUCAUAAAGUGCGUCGUAGUCCGGAUUGGAGUCUGCAACUCGACUCCAUGAAGUCGGAAUCGCUAGUAAUCGUGGAUCAGAAUGCCACGGUGAAUACGUUCCCGGGCCUUGUACACACCGCCCGUCACACCAUGGGAGUGGGUUGCAAAAGAAGUAGGUAGCUUAACCUUCGGGAGGGCGCUUACCACUUUGUGAUUCAUGACUGGGGUGAAGUCGUAACAAGGUAACCGUAGGGGAACCUGCGGUUGGAUCACCUCCUUACCUUAAAGAAGC